rnacentral:rRNA from 1 species
UACGAGGGGGGCAAGCGUUGUUCGGAAUUAUUGGGUGUAAAGGGUGCGUAGGCGGUCUGAUAAGUCAUCUGUGAAAUCUAUGGGCUCAACCCAUAGUCUGCAGGCGAAACUGUCGGGCUUGAGUAUGGGAGAGGUGAGUGGAAUUUCCGGUGUAGCGGUGAAAUGCGUAGAUAUCGGAAGGAACACCUGUGGCGAAAGCGGCUCACUGGACCAUUACUGACGCUGAUGCACGAAAGCUAGGGGAGCAAACAGG